rnacentral:lncRNA from 1 species
CUACCCCCCCACACACACACACACAUACACACCCUCCCAAUCUAAUUUUGGGGACGUGGGGAUGUUCGGGAUAAAAAACUGUUUUCAUUCCCCUUUAACUCCUGAACAAAUAUAAUCAUGCCAGUCCGUAGACCAAAAUGAUUGUUAAAAUAAGCCCCAUAUCUUAGCCCUUGCCUUUCUGAGGAUUUCAUCAUAGGAUGACAGAACAUUUGAUCAAACAGGAGAAAAGUGGGAAGUAACUUACAAUAGGGGAGAAAAGCUCCCUAAUUUGAAUACAAAUGUCAGGUAUAAGUUGGUAAAGAUCAGCAGUCAGCUGUAGAACUUGAUAGAAACUUAGCUAAGCCAUUCCUCAGCCCUUCCAUUGGCCCUUGUGAUUGUAUCCUAACCCAUUUUCCUCCAUAGCAUUUCUUUUCCCCAUGAUCUUUCCAAAGAAUUCACCUAUAGAUCUCAAUUCUCUCUCGCCAUGCUAAGAUUAUCUUUCUUACUACCAAUUCCUUCUAGGCUCCAUCAUUUCUUUCCUAACGUCUUCUGAUUCGACUUUGAGACAACCCAGCACUCUGGAAUCUUUGCUGUGACUUCUCCAAUGGACAGAUGUUCCGUUCCAUCCUCCUAACGAGGUUUCCAUGCAAAAAUAUCGGAAUAAGUGGUUGUUGGCAAGCAAAGCAUGUGAUGGUGUCCCUGUGAUGUUCAGGUGGCUCAGAAGAUGUAUUUGGUUCAAGAUUGGAUGGGGGAGUGGCAGACCUCUACUUUGGCCAGUGAGCUGUCCACCCUAGAAAAUCAGAACAAGUGGUUGCUGGCAAGCAAAGCAUAUGAUGGUGUCCCUGUGAUGUUCAGGUGGCUCAGAAGAUGUAUUUGGUUCAAGAUUGGAGGGGGAGUGGCAGACCUCUACUUUGGCCAGUGAGGUGAGUGGCUGUGGCAGACUGCAUGAUGCGUCCAAACCCUUUUUCUUUGACUCUUCCAUGAGGCGCUGGAAGUCUUGAAUAGGAAAGCAAGGAAUCAAUAGCUCAGAGGCUAAGCUCUGAGCAUUACUUCAUAGGGAUCUUAACCUGUUGUCCUGACAUUUCCCAAAAAGGAGCAUUUACUAAAGAAGAAUGGCAUUUGCUCGGGCAGGCUAUGAAACAAAGUGAGGCAAAAGGACAUAGAGUGUUAGCCGCCAUUGAGGUCCCAUGCACUCUAGUGAGGAUACUGCACAAACUGUGGAGAGUUGAGCUGUUCCUCACCUGCAGCCCCACCUUUCACUGCUUCUACUCACUCUUCUUUACCCUUUGAAUCAGAUGGCCAAGGAGAUAGACCCCUUCCUUUAUGCUGCAGAUGCCAAGAACCAGCCCCAUGGCCUGGGGCAAGCCUCCUGCCCAAAUCCCUUGUUUCUGUCCUCACUGCUGUCAAAUGAUAGCUAAACCCCAGCAUGGAGGCAUGCUGUCCUCCCAAGGAGCAGAUUUUGCUCGCAAGCUCUCCCACCUUGGCUGCCUCCUGACCACAGUCAAC